rnacentral:rRNA from 1 species
CCUACGGGUGGCUGCAGUGGGGAAUAUUGGGCAAUGGACGCAAGUCUGACCCAGCAACGCCGCGUGAAGGAAGAAGGCUCUCGGGUUGUAAACUUCCUUUAAGGGGGAAGAGCAGAAGACGGUACCCCUUGAAUAAGCUACGGCUAACUACGUGCCAGCAGCUGCGGUAAUACGGAGGUGGCAAGCGUUGUCCGGAUUUACUGGGUGUAAAGGGCGUGCAGCCGGAGAGACAAGUCAGAUGUGAAAUCCACGGGCUCAACCCGUGAACUGCAUUUGAAACUGUUUGCCUUGAGUGUCGGAGAGGUAGGCGGAAUUCGUGGUGUAGCGGUGAAAUGCGUAGAUAUCAGGAAGAACACCAGUGGCGAAGGCAGAUUACUAGACGAUAACUGACGGUGAGGCGCGAAAGCGUGGGGAGCAAACAGGAUUAGAUACCCUUGUAGUC